CAGACAGAGGAGCGUUAUAGCAUCAGUAUCCAAAAUGAUCGAGCCUUUCGGCGAGGCGGUUGCAUUUUGUGAGAAAGGGCGUAACGCCGAAGAGUAAGUUGUGCCGUACGCUUACAUCUGGGGAUACAGUCAACAGCUGUAUCACUGUCACCGCUUUCGUGGUGUUGCGCUGCUG
rnacentral:ncRNA from 1 species